AGUGAACGCUGGCGGUAGGCCUAACACAUGCAAGUCGAACGGCAGCACAGGAGAGCUUGCUCUCUGGGUGGCGAGUGGCGGACGGGUGAGGAAUACAUCGGAAUCUACUCUGUCGUGGGGGAUAACGUAGGGAAACUUACGCUAAUACCGCAUACGACCUACGGGUGAAAGCAGGGGAUCUUCGGACCUUGCGCGAUUGAAUGAGCCGAUGUCGGAUUAGCUAGUUGGCGGGGUAAAGGCCCACCAAGGCGACGAUCCGUAGCUGGUCUGAGAGGAUGACCAGCCACACUGGAACGGAGACACGGUCCAGACUCCUACGGGAGGAAGCAGUGGGGAAUAUUGGACAAUGGGCGCAAGCCUGAUCCAGCCAUACCGCGUGGGUGAAGAAGGCCUUCGGGUUGUAAAGCCCUUUUGUUGGGAAAGAAAUCCAGCUGGCUAAUACCCGGUUGGGAUGACGGUACCCAAAGAAUAAGCACCGGCUAACUUCGUGCCAGCCGCCGCGGUAA
rnacentral:rRNA from 1 species